GAGGGAGGGGCGGCACUAGCGUUGCCAUGAUGGGGCAGGCUCGCGUCCCUAGCAGCCUCCCGCCCACGUCAAGGUUUGUUUAAUAAUCGCCGAGGUAUUUAUGGCCAAGGCUCCAGGCAGCGGCUUGGGGAGUCAGGAGUCCGCGCCGGGCAGCGGAUGAGGCGCGGUGGCUGUGGCCCAGGGCACCUCCCCCCCGGCUUCCCUAACCCUGCCCGGUCCAACCCGAGGGGGAGGAUGGAAACUUCAUCUGCGCUCUGAGCCCCCCAGGAAGAUAACACCUUUCCCACCAUAGCAUCUCGAGGUCCUGCGGAGGCUUCCGCCUUGUCUCCUCCAAGUCUCGAUCUCCCAGUGCCGGGCGGAAUCUAAAAGCGAGGAUGGCAGACAACUUGAAGAAACUGGUCUUGAGCGAAACUUUACGAUCACUGCAGGAUAAGAUAGAAUACUGGCUAAAGGAUUUCAACGUGAACUCAUGUGAUCAAAAUCUAAACGCCUGCCUGGAACUCAUUGAGCAAGUUGCCAAACUGCAGGGACAACUUUUUGGGAUCCUCUCUACAGUUGCUCAAGAAGGAGGGAAAUAUGAUGGCAUGGAAGUAAUCAAAUCUCGCCUCUUGCCAUGGCUGGAAUCCACUUUCACUGCUUCUUCCCUGGGAAAACCUGUUGAAAGCAGAACCCUUUCUCUGCAGGAAGCACUUGAUAAGGACAAGAAAGAUACUGUUUUUCGAGAACGUGACUCAAAGCUAUUGGAUGCCGAUUUGGCUGCAACUCGAAAUCAGCUCAAUCAGGUUCAAGACGAUAUGGCCACAACUGAAAAGACUCCUGAAGAAAACAAGAACAGAUCAUCCAUAUCCCUUUUGGCUGCAGAGGAGGAAAUAAAUCAGCUAAAAAAGCAGCUUAAAUCUCUUCAAGCUCAAGAGGAAGCCCGCCACAGAAAUGCAGAGCACAGGAAUCCAGAGCAGCGAGGCCCAGAUGUUAAAGUCACACAGAGGAGGAGAAUUGGGAUGGAGCCAGUAGGUGCUGAUAAGUGGAGCAUGGACCAGAGCUCAGAAAUGCUAUCGGAUUAUGAGAAACAGCUCCGAACACUCAAAGAUGAGAUAGCAGUUCUGUCUGCUGAAAAAACUGCACUCCAGGGAAGCAAGUCCUCCAGGAGUCGGUCAACCAGUCCUGGCCCCCCCAGCCGCAGCCAGAGCCAGAGCCGCCGCCAGAACGAGAGACGGUGCAGCAGCGACCGGAGGCACCGCAGCGACAGCCGGGACAGCCGCGGCCGGAGCCUCAGCCGCAGUCGGAGAGACAGUCGGAGAGACGGCCGAAGAGAGGGCCGGAGAGACGGCCGGAGAGACAGCCGCGACCGGAGGGACAACUGCGACCGGAGUCGCGAGAGGAAGGACAGCCGUGAGAGGAAGGACAGCCGCGAGAGAAAGGACAGUCGGGAGAGGAAGGACAGCCGCGAGAGGAGGGGCAGCGGCAGCGGCAGCCGUAGCCGCAGCCGCAGCAGGUCCACCAGUCCCUCUGGGGCCUUGAAGGUCAGGACACCUUCCCCGAAUCGCGCCAAGCUGUCCAGCGUGGCUCGCAAGGCCGCGCUCCUGUCCCGGUUCAGCGACGCCUACUCCCAAGCUCGCCUGGACGCACAGUGCUUGCUGCGCCAGUGCAUCGACAAAGCCGAGAUGGUGCAGCGGAUCAUCUACAUCGCCACUGUGGAGGCCUUCCAUGUCGCUAAAAUGGCAUUCAGACAUUUCAAGAUCCGUGUGAGGAAAUCCUUGACACCAUCUUAUAUUGGGUCAAAUGACUUUGAGGAUGCUGUCUCAGAAUAUAUCAUUUGUCAUCUUGAUCUAUAUGAUUCUCAAAGCAGUGUUAAUGAUGUGAUCCGAGCCAUGAAUGUCAAUCCCAAGAUUUCCUUCCCUCCUGAAGUUGACUUUUGCCUCCUCAGCAAUUUCAUCCAGGAGAUAUGUUGCAUUGCCUUUGCAAUGCAGACUUUAGAUCCACCCCUAGACAUUGCAUUUGGGGCUGAUGGAGAAAUUUUUAAUGAAUGCAAGUACCGUCGCAGCUAUGACUCCGAUUUCACUGCUCCCUUAGUCUUUUAUCAUGUGUGGCCUGCGCUCAUGGAGAACGACAAUGUCAUUAUGAAAGGAGAAGCUGUCACCAAGAGAGGGGCUUUUGUACGGUGGCCUUGCAUAGUGACAAUUCGUCCCAAGUGUUUGAUUCACAAUGGAAUUCGGUUCGACCUAUAAGUCGAUGUCGAAGCAGGAGUUUAAGUCCUGUCUACCCCCAUAACCACAUUGGUAUAUCUCGAAGCCGAAGUCCAUCUCCAAUAAGAUGUGGAUUGCCAAGAUUUUAAAACCACCGGUCAUGUUCCUUUGUCACAGUACAUCUGCAGCUGCUGCCGCCCUCCCCAGUGCCUCCACUUGCCUGCUGUGUCUGCCUCAGACCUCACUUAAGAUAAUGUGAAAAGGCAAUUCUGUGUAUCACUCCACACAGAGAGUUAAAUGCUUUGGCUUAGCGCAUUUGUAACACCA